rnacentral:rRNA from 1 species
CAGGCCUAACACAUGCAAGUCGAACGCAUCCUUCGGGGUGAGUGGCAGACGGGUGAGUAACGCGUGGGAAUCUACCUUUUGCUACGGGAUAGCUCCGGGAAACUGGAAUUAAUACCGUAUGUGCCCUUCGGGGGAAAGAUUUAUCGGCAAAGGAUGAGCCCGCGUUGGAUUAGUUAGUUGGUGGGGUAAAGGCCUACCAAGGCGACGAUCCGUAGCUGGUCUGAGAGGAUGAUCAGCCACAUUGGGACUGAGACACGGCCCAAACUCCUACGGGAGGCAGCAGUGGGGAAUAUUGGACAAUGGGCGCAAGCCUGAUCCAGCCAUGCCGCGUGAGUGAUGAAGGUCUUAGGAGUGUAAAGCUCUUUCACCGGGGACGAUAAUGACGGUACCCGGAGAAGAAGCCCCGGCUAACUUCGUGCCAGCAGCCGCGGUAAU